GACGAACGCUGGCGGCGCGCUUAACACGUGCAAGUCGAACGGAAAGGCCUGCUUUCCCUUGUGGAUUGCGGGUACUCGAGUGGCGAACGGGUGAGUAACACGUGAGUGAUCUGCCCCCAACUUGGGUAUAAGCCUGGGAAACUGGGUCUAAUUCCCGAUAGGACUGCAGGGUGGUGCCUGUGGUGGAAAACGAUUUUCUAGUGGUUGGGGAUGAGCUCGCGGCCUAUCAGCUUGUUGGUGGGGUAAUGGCCUACCAAGGCGGCGACGGGUAGCCGGCCUGGGGGGGUGGACGGCCACAUUGGGACUGAGAUACGGCCCAGACUCCUACGGGAGGCAGCAGUGGGGAAUAUUGCACAAUGGGCGGAAGCCUGAUGCAGCGACGCCGCGUGGGGGAUGACGGCCUUCGGGUUGUAAACUCCUUUCGACCGCGAGGAAGCCACCUGGUUGGAAGGGUGGUGACGGUAGUGGUAGAAGAAGCACCGGCUAACUACGUG
rnacentral:rRNA from 1 species